rnacentral:lncRNA from 1 species
UGGAUGCUCGGUGUCGUGGUACGGUGGGGCGUGCACAGACAUGGGGUGUUUGGUGUCAUGGCGUGGUGGGGGGCACAGACAUGGGGUCCAUGGGGUGUUUGGUGUCAUGGCGUGGUGGGGGGCACAGACAUGGGGUCCAUGGGGUGUUUGGUGUCAUGGUGUGGUGGGGACAGCGGGGACGUGGGUCUGUGAGAUGCUGUGCCAUGGUGUGCUGGGGACCACGGGGAUAUGGGGUCUGUGGGGUGCUCAGAUUAACGGUGUCAUAGGGGCACGGUGAGGGCAUGGGGUCUGUGGGGUGCUCGGUGUCACAGUACCAUAGGGACGCAGUGGGGACACGAGGUCUUUGGGGUGCUCGGUGUGAUGGUAUGGUGGGGACCACAGGGAUGUGGGGGUCCAUGGGGUUUUUGGUGUCACAGUAUGGCGGGGACACAGGACACGGUGGGGACGUGGGGUCCAUGGGAUGUGUCGCAGUACGGUGAGGCCGUUGGCUGGAUGUGUCCCUUUGCUGUCCCGCAGGAAUCGAGGUGAGCACGCUGUUCUGGCCCGCCGUGCCGCUGGGCUCCGAGCACCCCGUGCUCUUCCAGCUGCGUUUCUGGGACUGCGGGGAGAGUGCCCUGCGGAAGUUCGAGCACCUCCUGCCCGCCUGCAGGGAGGAGGCGGACGCCGUCCUUUUGCUCUUCUCCUUCACCGACCGCGCGUCCUUCGAGGAGCUGCCGGCGCGGCUGGCGCGUGUGCUGCAGCCCGGCGAGGACACGCUGCGCGUGGUGGUGGGCACCAGAUUCGACCUGUGUCCCCACACUGCUGUGACGGAGUCGGACGUGGCUGCCUUCGAGGACAGCUGGGGGCUGCGGGUGCUGCGGGCGGGGGGUGCGGGGGUGGGCCGGGGGGGUCUGGCACGGGUGGCCCCACUGCUGGAUGCCCUGGUGGGGCAGCUGUGGCAACGCGACCAGAUGGCAGCUGGUGUCAUCCCAGAGGGUCAGGGGGCCCCCGAGGACUGAACCCCAUUUUGGUGGGGGGUUCCAUGUUUUGGGGGCGUGGAAGCCCCUCACCGUGGCGUCUGGGUUCCCCCUGCCAUUAAACAGUGUUGGUUUUCCAAACCCUGGAUUGGAGACUUUUUUUUGGGGGGGGA